GGGAAGCCCAGACCAGUCAGGGACCCUCCCCAUGGAAAAUAGUUAUGUGAUACAUUGCCAUUCUGGCAAUAUAUUAAAUAACUAGUAAAUUAUAAUAUUUAACUAGUGAGCGCCCUCCUCGCAGUCCCGCCUCCCUAUUGUAUAACAUGCAGUAAGCGAUCCCUCGUGGUCCCAGGUACUCACAUAAUGACUCGGAGUGCUGCUGUUAUUGAGUUAAAGUGGUGCCACGUUAACCUAAGCAGUGGACAGGGC